UACGGGGGGAGCAAGCGUUGUUCGGAUUUACUGGGCGUAAAGGGCGCGUAGGCGGCCACCGCAAGUCGACUGUGAAAUCUCCGGGCUUAACCCGGAAAGGUCAGCCGAUACUGCGGGGGCUAGAGUGCAGAAGGGGCAACUGGAAUUCUCGGUGUAGCGGUGAAAUGCGUAGAUAUCGAGAGGAACACCUGCGGCGAAGGCGGGUUGCUGGGCUGACACUGACACUGAGAGACGAAAGCUAGGGGAGCGAAUGGG
rnacentral:rRNA from 1 species